rnacentral:lncRNA from 1 species
AAAAUAAAGGAGGUGUAGUGGAUUGACUAAUGGUCAACUUGUAACGCCCAGCUGGACUGAAUCAGCGUGGCCUGGGCGUGGAGGAUCCACCUGAAGAUUGUUACCAAUAGCCAUAAAAAGAGAACUGGGGACGAAGAUCUCGGCCUGCUGAUUUUCUAGGAGAAGCUUGCUGUGGAUGGUUUUCCUGAUGUGAACUAGGCUGUUCUCAUUGGAGGAGGAGCUCGGGAGCUCGCUGUUUCUGGGACUGGCUGCUGCUUUCAUCAGGGGAGCUCUGAUCUUUACUGGUUACCUUCCUGAACCUCACCUAAUGAAUCCCCACCAUACUUUUGAGGAGGGAAGAGGAGCU